UGUACUUCGAAAAGGAGGCUGAUUACGUUGACUGAAAUUCAUCCUGGCAAAAGGCCUUUGCUGCAGCUGGUUCCAUUUACAUUUUGUAUUUUUGGAGCUUGUGCCUGUUCCAGGGAGGGAUGGGAUAAUUGAUUUAAAUCAAAUUAUGAAACGUGAUACUCUGAAUUCCUAAAAACAUGUUUCCUGGCACUGCCUUCAGCAACGGAGCCUCACAGAACUCUCCAGUGGAACUUGAGAAAACAAUUCUUUCUCCAAAUACUGUGACUGACUAAUUGUAGUCCCUGGAACCAUCCAGAUAGCUGGGUUCAAAUUGCACCACUGUAGCUGUGACUGCUUUUGCAACUUUUGGGAUUUUUAAGAGAAGACCCUUUUUCGGCAAGAAGUUUUCCCCAGAUCGCCAUAAGAAUCAACAGUUUAUCAUCAAACAGCUGUCUGGUUUGCAUUUCCACUGAGCUGGACCACCUGCCGGCUGUUAACCUCUGGAAGAUGGUGUUCCAGUGGCCAGAGAGACAGAGGACGCAUCUGGGGCCAACACUAUUUUGCACUUGUUUUGGAGACGAACCAUAAAAAGAGGCCUGGCAGGGAGGAGCGCUGCCCUGAGGAAGGAGGGGCGGACAGCAUUGCAAAAGCCCUUUAAAAGGCAACAACCGUUCAGUCGGAUGGCUGAGGUUGAAAGGCACCAUCUCAACACAGCCCCGAGAUUUGGACACGGCCGGGGUCCCGCUGAGCUUUGCUAGACCACCUUUGCUUUUGAGCAGGUGUGAACAGCCACGGUAUUUUAGAGCUUGCUCACCAUCUGCUUUCCUUCCUUCCCUGCACAUCCCUCUGACUAAUGGAAAUGAUGGCUGCGUGUUUUCGCAAAUGGCCGUAAGGGGACAAUUUUCAAGGCCCUAUAAAAAUCCAAUCCCAUGAUAUCCUUGUGUAUGCUCUGAUUAAAGGCAGCCUGCCUCUCUUCGGGUCUUGGGGGCCAGAAGGCCUGAGGGCCAUUUGCAGAAGUGGCAACGGCUCCGUCUGUGUGUGUGUGUUUGCACGCAAGUGUGUAAGGGUGGUACAUAGAUUAGGGAGCACCGAGCACAGUGACUGGCUGGUGAUUUUGCCUGUUUCAUUCCCUUGUUCACCUCCAUCCAUGUCUGGAACAGACCAGUACACAGUGAGCAUUCACUGAGUAGUGAAUGAAAGGAUGAGUGAAUGAAUAUCUUUUCUUUGUUUUUGGUCUUGUUCAUUUCUUUGUCACACAAGAACUAGAGAUUAGUGGUCAGGAAGUACGGCUGAUGCUCAGCACUGAAGUCAUGGCACUGCCUCAAUUCUUCCUGGCCAAGGGUUUCAGAAUACUUAGGCUUGAAGGUUUAGUCAAGAGCACACUGGGACUGAUUUAUCAGACAGAGUGGAAAGGGAGGAUCACUGAGAUUUGGCUUUGAAGCAGCAAUAUGUCUCUUGUUCUGUAAAUUUGGGCAGGUUAAUUAACCUCUAUGAUUCUUAGCUGCUUCAUGUACAACACGGACUAGUGGCGGGUGUCCUACAGGAUUUUUUUUCCUGGAGAUUGUGUAAGUAAAGUCUAGCACAGCGUAGUGUGGCAGUAAGUGGCUACUAUUAUUAAUAUGUUUCAUGAUGAUAUUAUCAAUACUAUUAUACAACAAAUAUUAAUAUCAUUAUUUCUCCUCUUCCUCACACUCACCAAGAAAUGAACUUCGUCCUGACUACAAUUGUGCCAGAAACUGUCCAGGAUUUCACAGGUCUUGAUCUGUAUCUACCAAUAGCUAAUUGUGUGUCACUAAGUAGCUAUUGUAAUUGCUACCAAAGACAAGUCACUUAACUUCAUUUUUCUUGUAUGUAAUGUAAGGAAAUAUUAUGCUGAUUCUACUUGAUAGAGAGCUUUACAAAAAGGAGAGCAAUGUGAUUGGUUACUUUGCAAAGUUUUUACAACCCUGGGAUGUUUAAGUGAAGCUACCUAGUCAACUGUUAUGUAUCAUACCAAUGUCAGUUGUUUGCUUCAGUUCAUUUCUACUCAAUGUAUGUUGCUGCUGAUCUACUGAAUGCUGUGCCACACACUGGGCUGAGUGCAGUGUUAUAAAAACAUAAAACCAGACUCCUAAUUUUGAGGAGUUUUAUAUGGUGGAGGGGAUGUUCACGGCAGUGUACAUGAGGUGUCCCUGAGGUGGUGAAAUUUGUGCUUAUUUACUCUGUUUAUUGUUCCACGUUAGCUCUGAAAACAAGUGUUUGGUAGAGACAGAGCUGGGACACCUGGAGGGGGGUCCCCUCCCCGUGCAUUUGCAUAGGGUUGCCAAUAGGUUGUGCUGCCUUGCCUCUGGAGUUGUAUUGGGCUGGUCAUAAGAGACUCACAAAAUCAAUACCUGCACCAUCUCAUGUCUUGCUCAGAAAAGUGGCAGUGAACUCUGAACACCUCUCGACAGUCUCCCCACAGUCUCUGCUUCUACUGUAAAGUCAAGAUUGCUUCCAGUGAACUCCAAGAUAGCUUAUGAUGAAAGGAUGAUGGGUGCCUUGGGGAAUGACUCUAAGUCUUCUACACUUACACCCUCAGUACUGAGUACAUGGUGUAGUCCUUGGAAGGCACUCACAACUGUGUGUGUGAGAAUGAAUGAUAUAAACUGACCUCUCCCAAUUGUUCCAGAGUCCUCUUCUUCCCUAGCCUUGCAGUUGUUCUCAUAUAUGUGUGAGAAAACAUAUAUUCUCCUUCAUAUAUAUUCUCAAUUUCUUCCCUAAUCUAUAUCCAUUUUCUAGUUCAGCUAAAAAUUCAGCAUUUCCACAUGGCUUCUUCUGCAGCUUGUUUCUAACCCCCAAAGCACAACCAAAUUCUGUCUGGCAUGUACUGCAGCUCUCUCUCUGUCUCUCUCUCUCUCUGUGUCUCUCCAUAUAUAUUUUGCAUUUUCUACUUUGAGGCUCACACCAUUCAGUUCUACUGGCCUCUACCUCUUGUACUUUUUUUAACCAUCUGCACGGUUCCUUCUUUUUCAGUGAAGAUACUGGUGUUUUCCUCACUCUUCCUGGCCCUAAAAAUCUGUGUCUUUGUUCUUCUUCUUAUUUUUUGGUACCGGGAAUCAAACUCAGGACCUUGAGCUUGCCAGGCAGGCGCUGUGCCACUGAGCUAUACCCCAACCCCUUCCUUAUUCUUCUUCUCUGUCUUCCAGCCAAGGUAUGCCAAGAUACAGGGCUAAAAUUUCAUCCAUGUGGCAAUGUCCUACUACCCUGGCCACUUAGCUGCUUUGUCACUUCCGCUCUUAAGUGACGCCUCUGCAUGGUUUCGCCUAUUUUCUGUUAUGGCUGUGCUCUAGGCCUUGGAGUCCGACAUUGCUGCUUUGUUGAUAGAACCACUGCCAUUUUACAAUGUUACACUGCCUUCCUAGCCUUCUGGGGCUAUCAUUGAUCCUUAUCAUUCAGUUCACACAGCAUUUUCUAGCCUUCUAGGGCUCUGGUUCUCCUGUCAUUGCCUUCUUCCCUACUCACCCUGGUCCCAUAGUAAGCUUUAAACCACUCUUUUGAAAGAGCCUUUAACUCCUAUGGUUCACUGUUGUUUUCUUUGUCAAAUAUGAGGUAUGAUCAA